GCAGCGGUGGCGGAGUGGUCAAACGCACUAGCCUUGAGAGCUAGAGGAGCGAUCCUACGAGAGUUCGAAUCUCUCCCGCUGCG
rnacentral:tRNA from 1 species